rnacentral:rRNA from 1 species
CGCCCACGCGUUGUGUACCUCGUGGAUUAUGCUUGCUUCCUUCCCAGUCCCACCUGGCGUUUCCCUAGCUCCACGUUCAUCUAGUACUUUCGCCUCAUACCGGCGUUCACGGACGAUCGCACUGUCAGCUUCACGAUGCGCGUGCUUGGAAGCGGCGGUCUCGGCGAUGAGACCAGCCUACCUCCCGGCGACCACUACAUCCCGCCAGGCAACACCUUGGUCGUAGCCCACUCCGAGGCGGAACUGGUUAUCUUCUUGGUCAUCGACGACCUGUUCGCCAAGACAGGCGUCGCCCCUGAUGCCGUCGACAUCGUCAUCAUCAACUGCUGCGUCUUCGCCCCUGUUCCGUCCCUCAGUGACAUGAUCGUCAACAGAUACAAACUCCGCAGCGAUAUCCUCUGUGUAAAUCUGUCUGGAAUGGGGUGUAGCGCGGGGGUGAUCUCGGUGGGGCUCGUUGCCGGCCUACUGCAUGCAGUGCCCCGCGCACACGGUACGCACGCUCUGGUCGUGUCCACAGAGAUCAUCACACCCAACUUGUACGUCGGUAAGGAACGCUCCAUGCUGCUGUCCACCAUACUCUUCCGGGUGGGCGGCCCCGCCGUGCUGCUGUCCACGUCCAAGGAUAGGGCGCGGUUCCGUCUCUCGCACCUCGUGCGGAUUACCGGCGGCGCGCAGGACAGCUCCUACCGGUGCAUCUUCCAGGAGGAGGACGCCGAAGGCAACUUAGGCGUCAAACUUUCCAGGGACCUCAUGGCGGUCGCCGGUGACGCGCUCAAGGCCAACAUGACAGCCCUUGGCCCCGUCGUGCUCCCCUUCUUCGAGCAGCUGCGCUUCAUCGCCAACAUGCUGCUGCUCGAGCUGGGCCGAUGAGGCGGCGUGAAGGUCAAGCCCUACGUCCCCAACUUCUGCAAGGCGUUCCANNNNNNNNNNNNNNNNNNNNNNNNNNNNNNAGUCGUCGAUGAAGUCCAGUCCAGCCUUGGGCUGUCGGACGAGCACGUGGAGCCGUCUCGCAUGGCGCUUCACCGGUUCGGGAACACCUCGAGCAGCUCGGUGUGGUACGAGAUGGCGUACCUCGAGGCCAAGGGUCGGGUGCGGAAGGGCGACCGUGUCUGGAUGGUUGGCCUUGGAGCUGGGGUCAAGUGCAACAGCGCAGUUUGAGAGUGCAUCCGCCCGGCAACCAAACCGGAUAAGGAUGCAUAG